UACGUAGGGUGCGAGCGUUAAUCGGAAUUACUGGGCGUAAAGCGUGCGCAGGCGGCGCGUUAAGACAGGUGUGAAAGCCCCGAGCUUAACCUGGGAAUUGCAUUUGUGACUGCACGGCUAGAGUGUGUCAGAGGGGGGUAGAAUUCCACGUGUAGCAGUGAAAUGCGUAGAUAUGUGGAGGAAUACCGAUGGCGAAGGCAGCCCCCUGGGAUAACACUGACGCUCAUGCACGAAAGCGUGGGGAGCAAACAGG
rnacentral:rRNA from 1 species